UGCCUCGUUGGGCGAUACGCCAUAUUGGCGCGGCGAUUGUGAAAUAGAAGACUGAUAUCUCUUAGUGAACCGACUAUUUUCGAAACUGCAACAACAUGAGGAAUGUUAAAACUAGAAAACAGGGAAUCACAUUUCACAGGUACCAGUGCAAACAGUCUGGAUUUUCAGCUGUGCCUCCUGGAAGGCCUGAACAGAUGGAACCAGCAUCCCUGUCAGUGAAGACUGCCUCACUUGUGAGCCACUCAGGUGACCUUGUGCAGUCUGUAAACACCUAAAGGUUUUUGAGAGGAAGCUGGUGCCCAGUUUUCAGCCCCCUGCAUAAUAUAGUGGAACAUUUUUAAUGACUGAACUCCAUACAACAACUGACAAGAACUAAAC